UUCAUAGAGUGUAAAGGCAUAAGGGAGCUUGACUGCGAGACCUACAAGUCGAGCAGGGUCGAAAGACGGACUUAGUGAUCCGGUGGUUCCGCAUGGAAGGGCCAUCGCUCAACGGAUAAAAGCUACCCCGGGGAUAACAGGCUUAUCUCCCCCAAGAGUUCACAUCGACGGGGAGGUUUGGCACCUCGAUGUCGGCUCAUCGCAUCCUGGGGCUGUAGUCGGUCCCAAGGGUUGGGCUGUUCGCCCAUUAAAGCGGUACGCGAGCUGGGUUCAGAACGUCGUGAGACAGUUCGGUCCCUAUCCGUCGUGGGCGUAGGAAAUUUGAGAGGAGCUGUCCUUAGUACGAGAGGACCGGGAUGGACAUACCUCUGGUGUACCAGUUGUCGUGCCAACGGCAUAGCUGGGUAGCUAUGUGUGGACGGGAUAAGUGCUGAAAGCAUCUAAGCAUGAAGCCCCCCUCAAGAUGAGAUUUCCCAACUUCGGUUAUAAGAUCCCUCAA
rnacentral:rRNA from 1 species